GGAUUGAACGCUGGCGGCAGGCCUAACACAUGCAAGUCGAGCGGUAGAGAGGUGCUUGCACCUCUUGAGAGCGGCGGACGGGUGAGUAAUGCCUAGGAAUCUGCCUAGUGGUGGGGGAUAACGUUCGGAAACGGACGCUAAUACCGCAUACGUCCUACGGGAGAAAGCGGGGGACCUUCGGGCCUCGCGCCAUUAGAUGAGCCUAGGUCGGAUUAGCUAGUUGGUGAGGUAAUGGCUCACCAAGGCGACGAUCCGUAACUGGUCUGAGAGGAUGAUCAGUCACACUGGAACUGAGACACGGUCCAGACUCCUACGGGAGCAGCAGUGGGGAAUAGUUGGACAAGUGGGACGAAAGCCUAGACU
rnacentral:rRNA from 1 species